GUAGACAACUGGAUGACUCCGGGCUUCUGUUAUCUUAGCUUCUGUCUCCCCCCUUGACUUGAAAAAGUGACGUAGCAACUAAUCCAAAAUCUCUCACUCUCUCUCUCUCUCUCUCUCUCUGACAACCUCGCUCUUCCUCCCUCCUCCUCUUCCCCAGCCUGUCUUACUCACGCAGUCGCAGAGAGAGAGAAAGACACACUAUUUUCACCUUGUUGCAACAGUGGAAUUGCUCUUUCAGCUUCAGUGAAUUGUUGAGAAGACCUCGGGCAGAUGUGUGAGAUAAUGGUGGGUUCUGAUAGCGAUGGCACCUCUGCAACAAAAAUAUGACUGCGUCAUGAUGCAUUUCCUGUUCCUGUUCUGAGUCGGUCCGUACCACCCUUGGGGACUGUAAGUUAAAGAAGACCGGUACUCCUAAUCCCAGC
ensembl:lncRNA